CUUCACUCCCUCUUCUUUACGUCUCUCCAAGGCACGAACGUGUCUCCCUCCUGAAGCCACCGAUGUGGUCCAGGCCUCUGGGAUUCCUCACCAUGACGACAGGGGUCCAGUUCCCCACCCCCUACACCCAACCACUGCCACAGUGACCUUCUUAUAAGCAAAUGUGAUCACACCCUCUCCCUGCUUAAAAAUCUUCACAGCCCCCAGCCCUUC
rnacentral:lncRNA from 1 species